ensembl:lncRNA LOC100911253 uncharacterized LOC100911253
CUCCCAGACAACCUAUUCACGUGAGAGCUCAAAGCAGCCAUAAUUUUCUGCACUCAAAAUCUUUCCGGUAAGGUUCUCCGCGUAUUGUCUCCUUGGUAAUUGGAAAACAUGGGACUGGGAGUGCAAUUGCAGGGCAUCUCCAGUCCUCCAGGAUACGAUCUGGCUGCUACAGAAGAGGACCAGGAGGAAGCUCUGCUCAGAAAAAGGAUAGAAAGGCAGCAUGGAAACCCUGCUUCAAGGAAACACGAGAUUCACUAUGCUCUUGGCGAACCUCCCGCGAAAAGAGACUUCUAGGUGAGCCACAGUCGUGAGUUUGGAUAACAUGGGAAUAGCUUCCUGGAAAGUGGCGUUCCACUUGCAGUUACUCCAAGAGUUGCAAAAAUAACAGAGGACCUGAUUUCAGAGGAGGGGAGUCUUGCAGAGUCGCGGUAGCUCUGGUCCUGGAGAUUCAGCCAUGCGCACAUUUGUGCGCACUCAGUGCCUGCUGAUUCUGCUGAGCAGCAAACUGUGCACUGCUCAGGCUUCGGAACUUUUACAAAUAAUUCGUAGCCAAAAGGACGUCUUGUGGAAUUGUUAUCUAUGAAGAGGUUAAGGAAAAAUUCAGCACCGAAACCCUAGUCUUGAUUCUGAACACUCUACUUGCUCUGUUUUCCCUUAGGGAGGAAGGAUCCCCAGAGAGGCUCCCUGACCACUGCAAGCACUUCUCAAAGGGCUUGAAGGAGCUCAACGAAAAAACCCCAUUGCUGCCCAAGACUUCUGAGAGCCAAACUGGUAGAUUUGUGCAACCUGCAGUGAAAUUGUCCACACUAUACGCAAAGAUUAAACUCUGUGUCUUUAUAAGCAGGCAGAAAGGAUUCCAGCUUCCUUAGGUGUUCGCUGAUUGGGAUCCAGAAGCCCGCAACAAAUGGAUUCGCUUCCUCCUUUGUGCUUUCUCCUCCAGGGAGGAAGGAUCCCCAGAGAGGCUCCCUGACCACUGCAAGCACUUCUCAAAGGGCUUGAAGGAGCUCAACGAAAAAACCCCAUUGCUGCCCAAGACUUCUGAGAGCCAAACUGGUAGAUUUGUGCAACCUGCAGUGAAAUUGUCCACACCGAUACGCAAAGGUUAAACUCUGUGCCUUUAUAAGCAAGCAGAAAGGAUUCCAGCUUCCUUAGGUGUUCGCUGAUUGGGAUCCAGAAGACCACAGCAAAUGGAUUCGCUUCCUCCUUUGUGCUUUCUCCUCCAGGAUCAGCAGCUGUGGAAAGUGCGAGCCUGGAUCCAUAUUUUCUGCUUCAUCCCUGUGUCUUCAGCUGGCAUUGGUGCAAGGGGAGCUCAGUGACCAAGCGCCCUGAGAUAAUUCUGCCAGAGAACCUCAGUACUGCCCAGGGACUUCUGGAUGUCUGUGCAGUUUUAUAUUCCUUAAGAAGCUCCUUUUCAAAUUGGAUUCUACUUCAGGAAAAACAAAAAAAAAAAAGCCAAAAAGAAAAUGAAUUCACCACUUCAAAAAAUGAAUUGGCGGAGGGAGAGAACCUGGAAGAAGCCUAUCUUGGCAUUCUUGAUACUACACUGCCAUCCAGCGGAAUUACUUUGCUGUACUGCCACCACCUCUAUGAAGCUUUUUCUCAGCCUAUCUGAAAGUGAGUUGUGAGUGCCCAGGACUUCUGGUUCAAAUACUGAAUCAGCAAUCAAUGAACAAAUGAAGGUACGUCCAGCCAACUGACCUGUUCUGGGGUUAGACAGGGUUUGUUUUUGGAGUAAUAAAUUCAGCUACUCGGGAAUUUGGCUCCAGCUGCAGAUGUAGCAGAGGAGAUGGCUUUGCUUGGCAUCAAUAGGAGGAGAUGCCCUUGGUCCUAUAAAGGCUAAAUACCCCAGUGUAGGGGAAUACCAGAGAUUUGAGGUGAGAGUGGGUACAUCCUCAUAGAACCAGGUAGAUGAGGGAGG